rfam:Dipodomys ordii contig_18594, whole genome shotgun sequence.
GGUGGCUCAGUGGUAGAGCACUUGCCUUGUAUGCAUGAAGCCCUGGGUUCAAUGCCUCAGCACCA